rnacentral:misc_RNA from 1 species
UCCGGUUUGGCACCGGCAGUCUCCCAUGAGUCCCCGGCAUGACCCGCUGGCAACAUGGGGUGAGGGUUGCGCUCGUUGCGGGACUUAAGCCAACACCUCACGGCACGAGCUGACGACAGCCAUGCAGCACCUGUGCUAGCCCCUUACGGACACGGGCUUUCACCCGCUUUAACUAGCAUGUCAAACCCAGGUAAGGUUCUUCGCGUUGCAUCGAAUUAAGCCACAUGCUCCGCCGCUUGUGCGGGCCCCCGUCAAUUCCUUUGAGUUUCAGCCUUGCGGCCGUACUCCCCAGGCGGGGUACUUAAUGCGUUAGCGCCGGCACCCAGGGGGUCGCUCCCCCAGGCACCUAGUACCCAUCGUUUACGGCGUGGACUAC